rnacentral:lncRNA from 1 species
CAUAGCUUUUUGUUGCAAGAGACCUUCUGCUCUCCAUAACAAGAUAAUUUCUUCUUCCUCAAAUUCAUAGUCUUUAGGAAGUAUGGAGCAAUAAGCAAAACAUCGUUUCAAGUAUGACGGAAGAUGAUGGUAGCUUAACCGCAAAGCUGGAAUUAUGCCACACUGCUCUUCUGGUAAGUUCCAUAUCUCACUCUCAUAUAUUCUUUCCCAUUUUCCAUGAUAUUUAACCGUGCGAAGCAAGCUUCCAAUGGCUUUUGCAGCCAAAGGUAAGCCAUUGCACCUUCUAACAAUUUUCUCUCCAAUUUCUUUAAACUGGAGAUGUCCAUCAAAAUUUCUUGCUUUUAAUGCAUGCUGUGNNNNNNNNNNNNNNNNNNNNNNNNNNNNNNNNNNNNNNNNNNNNNNNNNNNNNNNNNNNNNNNNNNNNNNNNNNNNNNNNNNNNNNNNNNNNNNNNNNNNAAAAGCUUGAGCGGAUCACAAUAGAUGAAACAAUUUGAAGACGAGUGGUUACAAUGAUAUGGGUCCCUGCUCCAAACGGAGACCGUAAGAUGGUCCAAUCAUUAUAAUUCUCGUUCCAAAUGUCAUCUAAAACAAGCAAGAAUCUUUUCCCAGACAACUUCUCCUUCAACUUAACUUGAAGUAAAUUCAAGUCAUUCUCGUCACGAGAGUCAGGAUCGAUGGAUUUUAAAAUUGUCCUGGUUAUAUUAACUGCGUCAAAAUUAUCAGAAACGCAUACCCAGGCUUUGUGGUGAAAAGACUGGUUGAUGGUGGCAUCAUUGUAAACAAGCUGAGCAAGAGUUGUUUUACCCAUCCCUCCCAUGCCGACGAUGGAAAGGACUGAAACUCCGUUGGAGUUAUCACCUUUGAGAAACUCAAUCAUUUCUGUCUUCUCCUUGUGUCUGCCAACAUACUCCACAACUCCAUCCAGUACGGAAGUUGGUUGCAGCCUAGGUUGCUUUCCCUUGGAGGUUGGAGCUUGAGACAAGAUCUCACUCAACCCCAAACUACUUCUUCGAGUAGUCAAACUAUUCAGUCUAGCAGUGAUCUCUUUCACCUUCGGAAUCAUGGAAUUCGUAAACAGGAAAGAAGUGGGAGCGAAACUAGUACCAGUAAAGCAGGUAGGAAUGAGUUUCCGUACCUUGCUAGUGCUGGCUUGAGCUCUUCAUAAGCGAACUCAUCCAAGAUGUCAUCCACAUCGUAAGCCAAGUCCUGGAGAUCCUCCAACCAUUUCUUCACACCCAUGUUCUUGAUCUGCUUCUCCUCUGCAUCGUCCAACACUGCUUGGAUAUCAGGCAAUAUGGACUGCCACUGCUUGAGCUGCUGGUGGAGUUGCUUAUGAUCAGCAACAAAGUUGAGCGCAGAGUCGAGCGAUUUGCCCACCAACAAGUCCAGGAACCCAGAAAGAGCAGCCUCUCCAAUGACAGACAUGGUGGAAUUAUGAGAAAGAAGAUGAAGAGAGAAAUGAACAAGCCAAAAUGGAAAGUCAGGGAACAAAAAAAGAAAGAAAGGGAAAUGGAAUCUGCAAAAUUAGUGAAGUUGAAGAAUUUGGCACUAUUUUUUAUACAUCCAAUAAUUCAGACUAUGAGUUGGGAAGUAGAGGGGCUCGGGUAAAAAUAUAGGCCUGAAAUAUGAAUUUGAGUAGAAAAAUAAGGCCCGUUUAGAAAACGGGUCGAGUCUCAGGUACCACUUUUUUUUUAGACCCGGCAUAGUCUGAAUAUAAUAAAUAUAUAUUUUUUAUUUUUAAAAAUAUUUUUUUAAUUUUUUUAAAAAUUUUAGUGUUUAUUAAAAAAUAGACCAGACCCGAGCUUAAGAAUUUUUUCCCAAACCAGGUUUAGACAAAAUUUUAAGCUCAUAUUUCAGGCUGGUGGGCUUGAGCUUAAGACACGGACUAAAAUUUUUUUAUAGGUCCGACCUGACGCGGCCCAUAAGCACCUCUAUUGGGAAGGCAGUGGAAUGUGAAAAAGGAUCCCAAGUGGUUGUUGAUGGGGAAAAGACAACGAAAGUGGAAAUUAGAGAGGUCUCAGUCCAUGAAAUUAUUGCACCCUCUCGUUUAUCAUCUCCCUGCAAUUAUUUGAAUAGUUUUUCUUUAAUUUUUCAUCUAUUUUAAUCAUUAAAUUUGUAUUUAUUUUUGUUAAAUCACUUCAAAAUAAAUUUUAUACUAUCAUUCCUCCAAAAUAAUUAUAUUUUUACAUCAUGUUUUUAUAAUAUAUGAUGUGAUCAUAAAUUAAACCCUUAAUUAUAGUGAUUAAUGUUCCAUUUUUGGAAAACAUUUUAUAUUAAUUAAUUAUGAGAAAAACUUUUUUAUGGAGAAGUGUGUUUAUACUAAUUAUAUUAUAGAAAAGUAUGUUUGAUAAUAGACCUAAUUGAUUAUUGGGCUUAAUUUUAAUAAAUUCUUUAAUGAGAUGUGAUUAAUUUUAAAUUUAUUAUUUAAUUUUUGAUUCGGUGUAAAAAUAAUCUCAAAAAAUAAAAAAGAGUCGGAAAUACGAAUUAUCAUAAAAAAUAAUAAUACGAAUUAUCGUUGUGGAAAUUUGCUUAAAUAAAAACAAAAUAUACAUUUGAAUCUUCAACUCCAGGUAAGAAAAUGCGCAAGCAGUGACCUCAUGUCAGUCACAUCCUUAUUUGAUUUUCAACUCCCUCAAAAGGCAUGAGGAAAAUCUAGCGUGGGGUACCUUGUCCCAUCAAAAUUUUUAACUUCUUUAAAAAUUAUAAUAUAAUAAUAGUCAAUUUACUUUUUAACUCCCAAAAAUAAAGUGUUCAAAUCUGGCCCUUAAAUUGUUUGGAGUAAACUAGACACAAGUUUAUUAAACUAUUAAUAAAUUUAUAUUUUGGUCACUUAAUUUUAAAAAGUUAUAAAAAAAUUAUUGAAUUAUUCAAAAUUUUUUAUUUAAGUCACUGAACUAUUUAAAAGUUUUUAUCUAAGUCACUACUUUGUUAUGUUUUUUUCCUAAAAAAAUUAAGCCAGUGAACUCCAAGUAACGAUUCAACAAAUACCCAUCAACAAGUACAAUAAUACACCUUAGGUCCAAGUUAAUUAGAUGGUCAAUGUUGUAGAUCGAAGAAGAAAGUUGUUAAAAUUUUUGUUAGUGAAUAUUGAUUUUUUUUUUGUGAAUUACAAUAGGAGGGCAAAGCCCUAAUAACAACACGACUAGAGCGAUUCGAAUUUAGGCCACACCUGAGACGUUGAACACAAGUAUUUCACGAGGACAUAUAACACAUGUUUUUUAAAUUCAUGGCUAAAAUAAUAAUAAAAACCUCUUUAUUUUAUUGUAUUCAAAUAAUAAUAAAAAACCACGGUUUUAGUCGUACCGGCCGGUGCCGCCGUUCUACUGUUAUAGUGCAACAAGCAACACCCUUUUCCAUACUAAUGAAAAUUUUGGUUUGUACCGUUCGCAUUGGCCGGAACAUAGUACACCUGCUGCUGCAUGAAUAAUGUUAAAAAAUAUAAAACUUUUAACUAUUUUCUAUUAGACUAAAUAUUUAAUUGAAAUUGACCAAUAAAAAAAUUAUUACACUAGAAAGUGAAGUUUAACAUUUAAAAUUUUUUUUGGAGCAUACUUUUUCAUUUAAGAUAUAAAAAUUAAAAUAUAAUAAAAAAACCCACUCACCUCGUUAUCAUAGAAAAAUCUUCACUCGCCCUUCAGUUUUUUUUAUUGAAAAAACCCCCUCAUCCUUUGAUUUCUUUUUUUCUACUUAAUUUUAAAUUUAUUGAAUAAUGAGUUUUUACUUGUGGAGUUUAUUAAUCAAUAUUUUAUAUAAUUGAUGAAUAGUUUUAUAUUAGAAAUUCAUUUAUAAUAAUUUAUUUGAUAUUUGUAUAUUUAUUUAUAUAAAUAUAUUAAAUAUUUUUAAAAAAUAUCGAUAAAUUCAAACUGAUACAUAAAAUAGACUAAUACCAAUACAUACCGGUUCUCAUAGAAAAGUGGUACUUAUACCAAUGUGGUAAUGACUACCUUGAAAGCAAGUAUGUGGGUGGCUAUAAUGUUUGAUGCUUUGUUUUCUUUGAAUAUUUUGCUUUGAUGCUUUUGAUCUGUGCUGAUCUUUGAGUGUUACUAUUGGGAUAUAUAUGGCUAUCUGAAUUUUUAUGAUUUGCUAUGCAUUGAUUGUGGUUGUUUUAUUAAUAAAUUUAUGUUUUGGAUUGAGAAAAAGAAAAAGAAAUUCGAAACACAAAAAAGAAAGUAGAGAAAGUGAACACAAUAAUAUACGUGGUUCGGGAAUAUUCCCUACAUCCAAGGGCAGAACCAAAAACGAAAUUCACUACUAAAAAUUGGAGAUUACAAUGGAAUUACAUCAUAAAAAAUAAAAUACCUUGCCAAUAACUAUCCACAAACUUUGAAUGGAUUCAUAGUCUGAGAAAUUCGGUAAGCUAACAUGGACAUCUUUGAGAUUGGACAGAACAAUAUUUUAGGAACUCUGUUAUCUUACAUGUGUUAAAUUGAGCUCUCUAAUACCAUGUUGUAAUGUGUACUGUAUCCUUCCAUUAAUCCUGGAAGGAUCAAACUAUCACGUAAAAGACUUGUUCUUCUGAAAAACCAUUGGUUAAUAGUACUACGAAAUGUCAAAUAUUUUUAACUAAAAUCUCAUUCUCAUAUACCAAAAUAGGUUAGAAAUUAGAAGAUGCAAAUGAAAACAGACCAUUCAAUUUGCUGAAUAAAUGUUGCAGAGAAUUGACUAACCGCUUUACUAAAUCAAAUAAGCUGAAGCAGAUGAGUUGAAGCUCACUAUUUCUCGCCAAUUUAGCCUUCAAUGCCUGCAAAAAUUGAAUACAAAAUAUAUAAGACUUGUUUCUGUUAUCAUGUUGUUCAUGAGGUCAAUCAGAUAUAUAAAAAAUAAAGCUAUGAAAUUUAUAAAUGUUUAAAAUGCGUUUCACACCUGUGGUUUGAGUGUGGAGAAAUCGAUACCAGAUUUUGCUGCUUAACUUUCAAUUUAAUUCCCUCGGGAUGACUGUUUUAAAAUCAAUUUUAACAAAAGGUAUGUGGGAAAUCUUGGACCACUCUCGUCCUUUACCCCUACUGCACCCUUCUUCUAGCAACGGGCAACGCCAAAUAAAUAGACGCUCAAGCGAGAGAAGCAUAUCUUUUUCUGGAAGAGAGGCGAGCUUAGGACAAUCAUAGAUGCCCAAUUGUUGAAGAGAGGUGAGGUGUUGUAAGCCCUUGGAGCACAUGAAUUCCAAAUUUUCAAAUCUAUGGAUGCUGAUAUCGGUGAGAGAAGGAGGCAGCAUCACUCCUAUCGCUUCUUCUGGAAAUGACACCACACGUGAGCAUCCUUCACCGCUGAUGUUGAGUUUUUGAAGAGAGGUGAGUCUAUAAAAUCCCCAUUGAACAAGUGAUGUAUAAAUUUCGGGUGCGUUUGAGAUUGCAAGUGAUGUGAGGUUGGCAGGGAAACCCUCUUCUGGAAAGGAAUCAGCCGAACAAUAAGACACUUUUAAUUCUCGAAGAGAGGUGAAGUUGUUGAUGCACUUGGGAAGGACUCCAAAAUUUCCACAAUUCUCAAUUGCGAAAACUCUGAGAUUUGUGGUGGGCAACACACUUUCUUCAAAUGAAACCAUAUUCGGACACAAAUUUAUUCGAAUCUCCUGAAGAUGGCUGAGCUUGUCUAAUCCCCGCGGUAAUGAUUUACUUUUUUCAGCAUCAUCAAUGACAAUGCUUUCGAGAUCAGUGGUUUCAAGGAAGUCUUGGGCUAUGCAUUCCAACACUGGACAAUCAUGAAUAAAUAGCUUUUUAAGCAUUACGGGUAACUUGGCGUUUAAAAAUAACCUACCUAGCUUUGAACAAUGGAAAAUAUCGAGACAUUGAAGCCGAUUGCAUAUAUCGCCCCUUGAUGAUAACCAUAUUAGAGAUGGACAGUUGAUUAUUUGCAAGCGCUCAAGAAGACAAGUGUUGCUACUCAUACUCUUAUUAUUAUUUUCUUUUUAUAUUGCAAAUUCACGCAAUUCCCAAUCCUCAGCUCUUUUAAAGCAGGAGAAAAGUUACUCUCUUCAAAACAAACCAAGCCUGGACAGUUUUCAAGUUGUAUUCUUCUAAUGAAUGGGAAAGCACGUAAGGCUUGUGGUAGUCUAUUGAGCCUUUCACAAAAAUUUAUAUACAGAGAACCUGGAAUCUUGUCAAGUUGCAAUCUCUCCUCCUCUGUUUCCAAAGAGACCAAUUGCGGACAAUUCGAAAUCCCGAUGAAACGAUGCCCGAUUAAUCUUAACCCAAUUUGCGAUAAAGAUCCCAGCUCCUUCCAACCAGAGAUCUCGAAUGUUUCGGAGUUUGCAAAUCUCAACAUUAUCCUCUCUGCUGAAAUAUUAAAAUUUGAAAUUUUUGAAACAGACACAACUUUCAAGGAGGUAACCUUCUGUACAGACAAAGAACCUUCAUCCACCAAUUCUUCACACCCUUGAACCCUUAAUUCACACAGCAAGGGAAAACUUGAAAUUGAAACUACCAGUCUCUGACACUCAUAGAUUUCAAGUGUCUGCAAGGAUUGAAGGAUGGUUGGCAACCUUCCCAACAAUACAGGACAUCUUACAAUUGAAAGCUUACGAAGGCUGGGGAAUUUCGAUACUUGCUCAUCAUCUUCACAUAGGUCCCACUCCUCCCAAUUCACCAUGUUGUCAAAACGCAGAGACUCUAAUGAUGCAAAAGCAUUUGAUUGAUUUUCUCCAAACAACUCAGCACCAAUCUUGUGUACUUGAUCCAAACCACUAAUUGAAAGAUCUUUUAACAACAACAACCUUCCAAUCGAUGGUAGAGAUUUGCAAUUUUUACAAUUGCGAAGCUCCAAUGACAACAUAUUUUUGAAGGAAGGAUCUGCAAUCCAAGUAGAGAAUUUUGCACCACCAUAAUUCUCAAUGACGAGUUGCUCAAGCUUUUUUGGAGGACAAAGAGAGUCCAACACCCAUUCUUCAACUUCUUUAUUCCUUGAAGCCAUUUCAAACUUUUCACUCCAAUGCAAUACCAAUCGAUGAAUCCCCUGCUUCUCAUUUAACUUGGCUUCCCCUGCAUCUUCACCAUUAACAUUCUCCAACCCAGAAAGACGGAAAUCACCUUUGAGGUUUGACAAAUAUUUCAAACCUCUAAUAUAACUACCAUCACCUUCCCCUAUUAUAAAAUCAGUUAACCUUUGAAGUUUCGUUAGCUUAUCAAUUCUAAAAGGAAUCCUUUCUAUUGACUUCGCACCUCUGAUAUCAAGAUAAUGCAAGUUGACAAGAUUUUCCAUCUUUGAAGGUAAACUUUGAAGCAUGAAACAGCAAUUUAAUAAUAAAGUUUCCAAAUGGUAAAGAGUGCACAAAGAAUCAGGUAAGCAUUUGAUACGGGUGCCGGAAAAAUUUAAGUAGCGAAGAUGUUUAAAAUUUUCAAAAACAUCAGGCAACUCAGUGAUCCAAUACCCACUCAAAGAAAGCAUCCUUAAGCAGCCAAGUCUUGGUAACAAAUCAUCCAAAACAACAUUAGUUAAAAAAGGCACCCGAUAAUCACUAGAAAACUUUAAGGGUAGAAAAGUACGUAAAGAAGUCACUUGAUCAAAUGCUUCAAACUUCUUCACUGUGUCAUAAUCACUGACAAGAUAAGAAGAAUGUCGAGUGCGAUUUGAGAACUUCCAUUUCUUAUCACCCUCUAAUUUUGAGCAUAUUUCCCCUGCAACUACUUGAGCUAAAUCAUUGAUAAGGUCAUGCAUUACGAAUCGGGACUUAUCUUUACUGGAUGCCUGAAAAAAUGACCUCGACACUAGAUCUUGAAAAUAUUGAUUUCCGAGAUCUUUAAUUUGAGGCAUAGCUUUUUGUUGCAAGAGACCUUCUGCUCUCCAUAACAAGAUAAUUUCUUCUUCCCCAAAUUCAUAAUCUUUAGGAAGUAUGGAGCAAUAUGCAAAACACCGUUUCAAGUAUGACGGAAGAUGAUGGUAGCUUAACCGCAAAGCUGGAAUUAUGCCACACUGCUCUUCUGGUAAGUUCCAUAUCUCACUCUCAUAUAUUCUUUCCCAUUUUCCAUGAUAUUUAACCGUGCGAAGCAAGCUUCCAAUGGCUUUUGCAGCCAAAGGUAAGCCAUUGCACCUUCUAACAAUUUUCUCUCCAAUUUCUUUAAACUGGAGAUGUCCAUCGAAAUUUCUUGCUUUUAAUGCAUGCUGUGUAAAUAUGGAUAAACAAUCAUCAUCCGAUAGUUUAUCCAAAUGAAAAGCUUUGAGCGGAU